AUUGAACGCUGGCGGAAUGCUUUACACAUGCCAGUCGAACGGCAGCACGGGGGCAGCCCUGGUGGCGAGUGGCGAACGGGUGAGUAAUACAUCGGAACGUGCCCGGUCGUGGGGGAUAACGUAGCGAAAGUUACGCUAAUACCGUAUACGAUCUGAGGAUGAAAGCGGGGGACCUUCGGGCCUCGCGCGAUCGGAGCGGCCGAUGUCAGAUUAGGUAGUUGGUGGGGUAAAGGCCUACCAAGCCGACGAUCUGUAGCUGGUCUGAGAGGACGACCAGCCACACUGGGACUGAGACACGGCCCAGACUCCUACGGGAGGCAGCAGUGGGGAAUUUUGGACAAUGGGCGCAAGCCUGAUCCAGCCAUUCCGCGUGCAGGACGAAGGCCUUCGGGUUGUAAACUGCUUUUGUACGGAACGAAAAGGCUCUGGCUAAUACCUGGGGCUCAUGACGGUACCGUAAGAAUAAGCACCGGCUAACUACGUG
rnacentral:rRNA from 1 species